rfam:Erinaceus europaeus unplaced genomic scaffold scaffold00668, whole genome shotgun sequence
GAAUGUGAAGGUGAUCUGGCUUCAAUCUGUCACCUCACUGGUGGCCACGGUAGAUUCAGUUGAUCUGGCUAGUCAGAUGUUUCCUUCCUUCCUCACUGCUCCAUGUGUGUCCCUCCUAAAGCUGAGUGAUCAGUUGAAGAGGAUGACCUUCCUAAAACAGAAACUAACUAGUCUUUGGUUGAGGUAGCUGCACUCUCCUAUUGGAACCUCCAAAUAAGCUCUCAAGAAUAGGUGAUAUUGGGGUGGUUCAUUAACUGGACAAAGAAGUAGAGGAGUUUGAUCUUCAGUU